rnacentral:rRNA from 1 species
CCUACGGGAGGCAGCAGUAGGGAAUAUUGCUCAAUGGGGGAAACCCUGAAGCAGCAACGCCGCGUGGAGGAUGAAGGUUUUCGGAUUGUAAACUCCUUUUGUUAGAGAAGAUAAUGACGGUACCUAACGAAUAAGCACCGGCUAACUCCGUGCCAGCAGCCGCGGUAAUACGGAGGGUGCAAGCGUUACUCGGAUUUACUGGGCGUAAAGGGCGCGUAGGCGGGAUAGCAAGUCAGAUGUGAAAUCCUAAGGCUUAACCAUAGAACUGCAUUUGAAACUGUUAAUCUAGAGUAUAGGAGAGGUAGGUGGAAUUCUUGGUGUAGGGGUGAAAUGCGUAGAGAUCAAGAGGAAUACUGAUUGCGAAGGCGGCUUGCUAGAACAUAACUGACGCUGAUGCGCGAAAGCGUGGGGAGCAAACAGGAUUAGAUACCCGGGUAGUC